CUGAUCUUGCCCUUGGCAACACUUGAUGACGCUCAAAGAAUCUGAUUCCGCUUCUACCCUGUUAAAGCCCAAGGAGUUCACCAAAUGUAAACCAUCUCGCAUUGCCAUUGCUUCAAUCGUGACAACGUCAGCUGCGAAGGGAAUGAAUCUGCAAAACCCUGCAAUAAAGCCACCCUUUUCAUCUCGUAAGAUACCUGCAGUAGAACCCGAUCCUUCAUCUGAAUGGAAUGAAGCAUCCACAUUUAGCUUUAUAAAUCUUGCCUCUGGUCUCUUCCACUUGUGUUCCACCG
rnacentral:lncRNA from 1 species